AUUGAACGCUGGCGGCAGGCCUAACACAUGCAAGUCGGACGAGUGGCGGACGGGUGAGUAAUGUCUGGGAAACUGCCUGAUGGAGGGGGAUAACUACUGGAAACGGUAGCUAAUACCGCAUACCAUCAGAUGUGCCCAGGUGGGAUUAGCUCGUUGGUGGGGUAACGGCUCACCAAGGCGACGAUCCCUAGCUGGUCUGAGAGGAUGACCAGCCACACUGGAACUGAGACACGGUCCAGACUCCUACGGGAGGCAGCAGUGGGGAAUAUUGGACAAUGGGGGAAAGCCUGAUGCAGCCAGGCCGCUUGUAUGAAGAAGGCCUUCGGGUUGUAAAGUACUUUCAUCGGGGAGGCGUUACCCGCAGAAGAAGCACCGGCUAACUCCGUGCCAGCAGCCGCGGUAAUAC
rnacentral:rRNA from 1 species